AAAAAGAUGCCACUUUUGACUUAAUAUGGUUGUUGUGAUAGUCACAGCUGAAACAUUCCCCCUAUUAUGUACGUUCACUUAAGCCAAGACAUAAGGACAUAAUUGCAUAUAUCAUUUAAAGCAUGCCUAACUAGCACAUCAUAACACUUGAAACAAGAAAAUGAUCGCACUAUACAAUAUACAUAUUCUUCAAAACACAUAACAAAACAUAUUUAUUUCCACCCCUUGCAUGUGAUCAAUAAAACAGCGAAAUGUA
rnacentral:misc_RNA from 1 species